rnacentral:piRNA from 1 species
UAAAGAUGGAACCACACAGUCAGGAACC